CAGACAAACCAAAACCAAAGUCAUGUGCUGUUAUCCUUCUGUUUACAAUGACAGCACUGCAGCUGCAAGGGUUACCCUCUGAGGCACACAGCAACUAACAGGUGAGAGACUUAACACAGGCAGAAGAAUAUGCUGAAAUACACUGAAAUUGCAUUAACAUUUGUAAAAAUACUUUUCUCGUUACCUUUUAAUCCUUCACACAUAACGUUACAGAAUGUGUGCACUUUCUCCACUCAGCCUGCAUGGGUGAGUUUAGUAAUUCAUGUGCCAUCAUGAGCCAUCACCCCAAACUGGACCAGGUCCUUCCACAGAGCCGUUGCACAAAUACACCUGUUCAGUGUCUCCGACCUUCAGAGUUUGCCAAUGUAAACCAAGGUGUUUACAAGAAGAAAAUGCAAGAUAGAACUAAAAUCUCAAAUGUUCUACCAUGUCCAUCACAAAAGUAUUAUAUUGAAACAGCCUUUUCCUUAGGCUUAGUGAAAAGCACAUGCAAGGUAGAUUUAUUUUUGUCUGCCAAUCGACAGCGUCCUCACCACCCGUGUAUGUUUCUGUCAGCAGUGUCACUGUGGACAGGCUCUGUCGGGAUAUCAGAUGUUACAGUUCUAUUUUAAAUACACAAAAGACCUUGGUCAAACUGAUCUCUUUGUGCAGCUUUAACCAGGAGGAACACGCAAAUGGUUUCACUACAUUUAACUCCUUUGUUCUCCACUCUCAACAAGCCCAAGCAGGAAGGCUGGAGGACAUAUAAGGCACAUACAAAGAAAACAGCAUCAAUUCUGCUAUCCUUCUCUGAACUCUCCUGCGGGGAUGUACCUACCCUUAGCUUUUUUUCUUGCUUGGUUCUGAAAAAAAAAAACAGGAGAAAUUUACUUUCCUCUCCUAGGAGGAUGGAAGAACUGGCAGAAUCACGAUUGGCCAAAUGUGAUCCUUAGCAUCCCCAGUCAGCUGCUGCAGGAUUCAGGACUGCGCACACAAUCACUUGUGUGCUGCUGAGCACGCCAAAUAUACAAGCAAAGGAUAAAGUGAAAUCAGGCUUUGCUUGGACAACAGCUCUUGCCUCAAGCAUGGGCUGGGUUUCUCCAAAGAGUAUUAACAGAGCAGCCCAAGUGUUUUAGAGGGAGUACUGCCCAUAUUUUUAAAAUUUGAAAAAAAAAUUUUCUUUUUCAAACUAAUGGAGAAAACUUGCUCAGAACUGAAGGAUUUGCAGAUAUAUCUUUCUAACUAGCAAGUGGUAAAAUGCUACAUAAUGCCAAUAAACCCCUUCCAGUUCAUUAUGUGCAACAGCAAAGAAUUGUACUUCUCUUCCAUUUCCUACCAAUCCUUCCAGCAGUAAUUGCGGGGCCAGGCAGUUGUGCGUGUUUGCUGCCACUGAGAGGGCAAAGAUUCAUUAGUCACCGGGAGCACAGCACACACCACUGCAGUCCUGCCAGCAGUUCAUUUUCCCAAUCACCCUUCUCCCCCUCCCCCUCUCAAAUUAAGAUUCUGGAUGUGUUUCCCAGUGAGCAGUAGCUAAUGUCAAAUUUCACAAGUGUAAUGCCCCUCUGAGUUAGCUAUCUGAAGAAGGUAUGCCCUUUUAGGUGGCGUGAUUUAUUCUUACUUUUAUUUUAAAUACAGUGCUUUAGAGAAAUUACCUCUAAUUCUACUACUUUGAAGAUGCUAUCUCACAGGAUUUUCACUUUGAGGGCUUGAACUCCUGGCAGGAGGGAGGAUGGAAAUCCUCUGUUCAAAAGCUUUGGGGCCUUCUGACUGACAGCUGAGCACAAGCCCCUGCUUAUUAGCUGUAUGUCACCAUCUGCCACUAUUCUGUAGCCCCACAACCUUCCAGUCAUUUUUGAGCUGUACAGGAAAGCAAGAUCUCCUCAAACUAGGCCAUUUAUAAUACUCUCCUAAAUAAUUUUUUUUAAAAAGUGAUCUUUUCUUUGUGGUUUUAAAAAGUAAGUUUUAAAUAUGUGCAGACUACCUCACAGGCAACAACAAAAGCAGACCUUUGUACUCUGCACACAGAUGCUGGAAAACAAAUCCAUGGAAUACCUUCAAAGAAGCAGAACUAGAGGAAAAUUCACUUGAAUGAGGAGGGAAAGAUAUCACACACAAUUCUUGUGCAGAGGCUUGGCUGAUCAAAGAACAUCUCAAAAUAAAAGGAUGAUGAACAUGACGGCAGGCAAUGGGAAAAGGAUUUAAAGACACUUCUGAAUUGCAGCCAUUAUUAAGAGCUUUUAAAAUCUAAGAAGGAAUCCCAGAAGCAUCAAGACAGAUGCUUUUCCCACCCUUCUCCUAGAACAGCAAAAUAGAAAUGCUGUCUUCAUGGUCCCCCAGUGCAACAUCCCCCACUGCAAGUCAGUUCCAGCAGUUCUUUAAGGACCAUGGGGUGAUGUCUUUACAUUGCACUGAGCAGUCACAACCAGUGGCAACGUUACAAGACCUUGACUAGCUUGAAUCACUGAAUAGUCAGCUAUGAUGCUGAGAAGGUGGGCAGUUCUAUUCCCUAGAAAUAUGCACAAUGCUCUAUUUAGGGAAGGAUGAAGCUGUAUUUGAUCAGUUGUUCAUGUACAUCAGCAAGCACAGCAAAAAUGGGUCAUGGAAGAGCUGAGGAGACCAAGAUGACUGGAUGUGGACAACAAGGAAACUACAAAGACUGAAAUCACCACAAAGCGUCAGUUUUGAAAAGGCAGCAGCCAGGGCCACUUAAGGUCAAUUAGUUUGACACCAGUCCAGACCAAAACAAUGGAGAAGUUCAGCUAUAGUUCCACUGACAGAAACACACAACUAAUGCUGGUCAAGCUGGCUGUUAGGGCAGGGUGUCUAGUUCUGUUUUCUAACAGGUCUGAGUAACCAAAUCUGAUGUCAUUAUUUCUAGGGUAAUGAAACAAAGACAACCCACCUCAGUGCAAAUAGCAGACAGUUUUUUAAUGAAAACUGAUUCAUACCAAGUAACUCUCAGGGAAAUAAAAAAUUUCCCCAACUCCCUACCACUUAUUCAUGCAGCACACGUACACUAUCAGAAGAAAAGGCUAGAUGAAAUAAAAAUGUCAUCACUGAAGAAAUGCCUGCAAGGAGAUCUGCCAGCAUCAGAACAAGCACAGUCCUAUUCAACAGUUUCAACACAGUCUCAGCAAGUAAACAUCACAUAAAUACUGCCAGAGCUCUAGGCAGCAAAUACAACACGUCCCUCACAUAUAAUCACACGGAUUGCUUGUGUACCUAAAACCAUGGAAAUAAUUUGUACUGAAAUGAGUGCAACAGAAACAAAAAAUUGAAGGCUGUCAUACUGACAGAAUAUUGUAAAGUAGAAAUUCAACAGUUUUAGGCUUCAAACAACUCAAGACUCUGCCCCAGACUUUCUGGGUAACUAUGGCCAAGUCAUUUAGUAGCUCUAUGUUUAAUACAUUUCAGGCCAUAAAAUGUCUUCAAGAAGUGCUGAAAAGGGAGUGAUGGUAAGAUAUACAUCAAUAUUUGUGAAAGCAUUCAGACUAUGGUGUCACAUGUAGCUGCACCAUUGCCAGUUUUAAGCUGAAAUAACCCCCAGCCCAAAUUUUGCUGCUGCCAAAAGCCCAGAAGAACGACCUAUUUAUGGGUAUUGUAUGCUUAAUUCAAAAAGCCCCAAACACAACAGUCUGUUAUGUAACUGAAAAUAUCUGUCCGCUCUUUGGAGAAAAAAAAAAACAAACAACAGAAUGCAGUAGUUUUGCUGACUUCAAGGACUACAAGUUAACUGGGAAGCACAGAUGUAUUGUCAGCUCCUAGAUACAUCUCAGUUAGAAAACCAAAUUUUUGCUAACUACAAAAGGCAGUGUGUGUCUGCUUGUUCCCGAUUCACCAUGUUCACCCAGUGGUGAAAAAAAUAAAUUAAUCUCUGGGGUGUUUUUACUUUUGCAUUUAGAGCAGGGCAUGUGAAAUAUGGGAUAGUUUAGUUCUUCUGAUGAUGGUCAAGAAGACUGAAGAGCCUAUGUGAAAUAUCACAUUUAUUGAGACUGCAGACUGAAAGACUGGAAAUUUAAAUUUAACUCCUGAAUCUCAGGCAUCCUGAACAAAUUCCUUGCACUUUAUUUCUUCUCAUAGAGGAGGAGUAUUACACUCACUCAUGGUGAGGAAUCCAUGUAUGAAACACAACCAUUAUAACCUCUGAUACCACCCAGCUAGACUGAUCAGCUAACAGCCACCCCACAAAACAAACACACUCCAGUUUAAUUAAAAGGCUGAAGAUUUCCAUUUUCUAUGCAAAUAAUGUAGCUACCAAGGAUCAUUUUGCCCAUCAAUACAAGAUUUAGACCAUUAUCAGAUUUUUAGUAAAAUCUCUUACCAAUAUACAUCUCUGACCUAGCAUGUACUUAUACUAGCAAGAAAUUUAUCUUUUUCCUUUUGCAAGUUAGUUCACAAAAGCACAUGGCUGGAGACCAUAGAUUCCCAGGAACAUGUCCCAGAGUGCAUACAGACAGGAAAACCAAGUUUAAUGACUCUGGCUGGAGAAACAACUCAACUGAUGUGAAAAAUGCCAGUUGGCAGCUCACUACUGAAAUGGAGACAAAUUUUAGAAAAAUCUCCUUUAUACUGGAGGAUUGCUACUGCUUUCACAGAGGUCAGUAUGUGACUUUGAGGCCAUAAGGAAUCACCUGCAUCAGUGAGUCUGAUCUGUGGAAACAAACUGUAGAAGCAUCCAGACACUUCAAAGUUUGUCAAUCUAGCAAAGUUUCAGGUACGUUGCUGUAGUAGUUAAUUUGUCUAAACCUUACUUUUAAUUUAUUAAACUUCAGCUUCCAAUCAGAAUUCAUCAAGCCUCUCUGUGCAGAUUACAAAGCUUUUUGCUGAGAGUAAUUCUUCAGCAAUACUUGAUACCAAAUCACCUGGUAACCUUUUCUGUCUUCAGGUAACAGAAGUAAACUGCAUUUCCUACAGACUCAUGAAUAAAAGUACUGUGAAAAUAACCACUAAGCAAUCACUAAGCUAUAAAGCAUUCAGAAACCCAAUCUUCCCUACUUCAAAAUUUGGCAUCUUCAAAAAGCCUUCCUUCCUCAACAACUAAGCAUAAAACACUAAAGUUACAUGGUUAAGUUUGCAAUUUCUCAAUUUCUGGUUUUCCUGGAGUGCAUUGAGACUUACUUUUCUCUCUCUUUUUUUUUUCCCCUGGAAAGCACACAUGCAGUAUUUUCCCAAAGGAGAAAGUUUAAAAGUAAUAUAUGUAAACUACAUUGUCAGUAUGCUGAACACAGGAGGUCAAGCAGGAAAUGCCUAAUAGGUAGGGCUUAAGAACUACAAGUGCAUGAUGACAUGUUCAAAAAAAGGCAAGAGUACACAGAUCUUUUCAUAAUGUUUGAUUGCGCUCAGAGGACAUUGGUCUGAUCCAAUAACCUUGGACUUCCCUCAUGUAUGUAGUCUUAGCUGAACAAAAAUUAUAUCAGAUCAAAGAAGAGACAGAU